AUGCAAACAAAGACUUGAUUAAUCGACAGGGAGGAAAGCUUCCCCAAUGACUCCUCUACACUCUCACGACCCCGUCAAGAGCAGAGGGAAGACCCUCACUCAAACACAGAAGAAAAGGGGAGAUGAAAAGAAAAAGCGACGAACCACAUCGGCGAUAGGUGAAGAACGAACUACAUCAACGGCACAAGGGACCUCAUCCCGAUGAAAAAAAAAAUCCUUGUCGAAAAUCUCUAGUCCCUAAGGAUAAAUCGACACGACGAUGACCAAGAACCUUCAAACUACAUCGACGCCAAACA
rnacentral:lncRNA from 1 species